rnacentral:tRNA from 1 species
AAAAUCCGUCGACUUUAGAAAUCGUGAGGGUUCAAGUUCUCUAUCCCCA